UGGGGAAUAUUGCACAAUGGGCGCAAGCCUGAUGCAGCCAUGCCGCGUGUAUGAAGAAGGCCUUCGGGUUGUAAAGUACUUUCAGCGGGGAGGAAGGCGAUAAGGUUAAUAACCUUGUCGAUUGACGUUACCCGCAGAAGAAGCACCGGCUAACUCCGUGCCAGCAGCCGCGGUAAUACGGAGGGUGCAAGCGUUAAUCGGAAUUACUGGGCGUAAAGCGCACGCAGGCGGUCUGUCAAGUCGGAUGUGAAAUCCCCGGGCUCAACCUGGGAACUGCAUUCGAAACUGGCAGGCUGGAGUCUUGUAGAGGGGGGUAGAAUUCCAGGUGUAGCGGUGAAAUGCGUAGAGAUCUGGAGGAAUACCGGUGGCGAAGGCGGCCCCCUGGACAAAGACUGACGCUCAGGUGCGAAAGCGUGGGGAGCAAACAG
rnacentral:rRNA from 1 species